rnacentral:sRNA from 1 species
GACAAUCGCGGCCACCGCCAGGUGGAACGGCAGGUGGGUUCAGGUACCAGCCUGGCCUGGACCCGGCUGUGGGACCAACACUUCCGGUGAGCGACAGAGGCAGCUCCCCAGGGCCUGGAGACCCGUGGGGGCGGGCUCUGGGAUCUGAGCCCAUCUCCCUGGCCUGGAGUCCCCCUUUGUACCUAUUCCCCAUUCCCCUACCGAGCUGGGCAGUUAGCCAGCCCACUCCAACUCUCGGAACCAUGUUUGCAGACUUGGAUUAUGACAUCGAAGAGGAUAAACUGUGAGUAUUUUAUUCCCCCAAGUUCCAGCAGUAUAGGAGCCCCAAGUUCCUCAUUUCCCUGGACUUCCCAGUCCCACAAACCCUUGCUUCUCAGCGGUGGAUCAGUUGUAUUGAAGCAGCAAUGGACCCUGCUCUCCCAGGAGCUCACUAUUUGUAGGGGGCUGUGGACAGUUAAAGGGAUAAUCACAGCUCAGUGCCAUAAGGGCACUAUUAGUAUGACUUGGUGACAAGAAGAGCAAAGCAGAUGGAGCAGUGCUUCUGCUGGGGUGGUCAAGGAAAGCUUCAUGGAGGACGUAGCAGUUGAG